CUGGAACCGUGGAUGAAAACCCGUGUGUGUGGGAUGCGGAUACAGGUACACACAUGUAAAUAGUAUCGAGGGUGCUGUGUGGGCGAGAUGGGAGCCGGGGUCAUGGGCCUUUGCCUGCACACUUCUUGGCUGCGGAACUCGGAAUGUGUCUCAGGGAUCCCAGGAGGUGCAGGUGUUCUACCUCUGAGUUUGCUCCGCCCCCUGGCUGAGCGCCAAGCCCCUGUGAGAUCACCUGGGCUUCCUUCUGCUUUUAUAAACCUCAGGCGUGGCUGGGGACAGGAUGUCACAGGCACCCCAUCUCCCAAUCGGGCCGCGGGAGGCUUGGCCUCUGUCCCUGCUGGGAGGGCCAGGCAGAAGACGGGCGACCCACACAGCUGGCACGUUGAGGGCUUGGAGGGGGUCCUGAGGCUGAGGCUGAGGGAGGUGGAGCAGCCUCUGCGGAGCAAGUGGGCAGAGAGGUCAGCCAGCUUCAAGUGCGGGACCGCUGAGACCCUGUACAUCCUCGCUAGGAAGGGGGACCAGGAGCAGCAGCGUCCGGUCGGCUGGGAGUGAUGGAGUGUGUGGUUGUAGUUACGCAUCAAGAUGGUGCUCAUGUGGACGAGCGGUGACGCCUUCAAGACGGCCUACUUCCUGCUGAAGGGUGCGCCUCUGCAGUUCUCCGUGUGUGGCCUGCUGCAGGUGCUGGUGGACCUGGCCAUCCUGGGGCAGGCCUACGCCUUCGCCCGCCACCCCCAGAAGCCGGUGCCCCACGCCGUGCAUCCCGCUGGCACCAAGGCCCUCUGAGAGGGGGGAGGACGAGGAUGUGGGACCGCCAGCCGCAGGCACUGGUGGGCUCUGGCCUCCCUGCGGGGAGGGUGGGUGCUGU
rnacentral:sRNA from 1 species